UGCUGCGUCACUUACCAUUAGUUUUUUAUCAUUUUUUAAUUUUUACUCAAUUUUGAUGUUUCGAAGUUAGUGUACAGUAUUACUUGCUUUACGAUAAGAAUCAUGAUUGAAGAUCGGUUGACAGAUUUAUAAUAAACCUUUUUUCCCAUUGCCUGCUGCUCCAUACGGGCUGCGAAUGAGCGGAAAGUUUUAAUAUUUUAUAACUGUACGAGUAUUUUACCACCGUGGUGAUACUGCACAUACUGUACGUCGUACUGAGCCUGUUUUUAUGAUUGUCCUGAGAUGUCCUCCCAACAGUUUCCCACUUCACACUAAAAUUUGUAGCAUUUUACUCAUAAAGAUAACACUGCACUUUGUUUACUCGUAGUGAUUUAUUUUGGCUGUGCGGUUGGCCUGUUGCAUAGUAUACGAGAUGCUCAUUUGAGCACUAACUGCUCAGUGCUCACAUACUUGUCGUAUUAACGUAUCGGAAUUCUGCGCGGACUUCUGUCAGCAGCCUUUUACAGUUUUACCUGAUGCAUACAGUUUUAUCACCACUAUUAUUAUCUUUAGAUCGAAGGCGAGCCAUCCCCAUGAAUGCAUGAAUCACCUCCAUCCCCCCGAUUCCUUCAAGCAUCCCCGACCCCAACAGUACAUCCGGCACUUCCGUCUCUGCCUGAUCGCGGGUGGCAUCUUCACCCUACUGCUGCUGCUGUACUGCAUCGUCGCCAGUGUGUCUUUCGUCGCGGAGGCCGAGGACAAUCUUAUAGUAUUGAAAAAUUCCGUGCGCUCUGCGCAUGUUCGGCUAGCUUCUUUAUCACUGCGCGAUGAAAUUUUGGAUACUCAGAGACGGCGCGUAAUGGGAAAUACGGUAGACGACGAAGAUGAAGGGCCUGAUAAGCGGCGGGGGGAGGGAGUGACGGUCCGCCGGAGGAGGGUGGGGUAUGUCUUCCGGUCGGUGGAUGGAUCUGAUGGGCUGUGAAUUUGUGGCGUGCUCUAAUCGUGGUGGUUACGUGAUCCGUGUUGCUCACAUGGUUAAUCGGGAGGUGGAAUAUUCACUACAGCAGUAUUCGGGACGUGAUAUUUUAUCCCGGUUGUGUAGUGCAAGUCAUGCCAGCUCACUGGAAGUCUGGAUGUGCCUGGUGUUUGUACGGUUUGAGAUGUCUGUUGUCUCGUUUUUCAAAGUUUAUCAAAAAUUUGCAGCUUUUUCCGUGUCUAGUCUCAUGCGUAUUGCAAUAGAGUAUUUUGUAUUUUGAAUAAGUGUAUCGUUUUAUGUUUUGUCGUUUGAGGUUUUUGCGGCUUGGCCGUGGGAGUUGAAUUUUGUUCAUCUCUUGUUGCCUGUCAGAAUAACCGGUUCCACUGCGUAAACCGAUCAUGAAACACAUCUUUGUAAGCAGGUUUUGUGUCAUGAUUGGUGUUGGCGCAUUCUCUGGAAUAAUAAAGAA